GAUGAACGCUGGCGGCGUGCUUAACACAUGCAAGUCGAACGGAGUGGCGAACGGGUGAGUAACACGUGGUUGACCUCCCCUGCACUUCCGGCUAUGCAUGGGAAAAUGGGUCUAAUAACGGAUAUGGUGGGAUGGGCUCGGGGCCUAUCAGCUUGUUGGUGGGGUAUUGGCCUAUCAAGGCGGCGACGGGGAGCCGGCCUGGGAGGGUGGACGGCCACAUUGGGACUGAGACACGGACCAGACUCCUACGGGAGGCAGCAGUGGGGAUUAGUGAGCAAUGAGAGGAAGCCUGAUGCAGCGACGCCGCGUGGGGGAUGACUGCCUUCGGGGUGUAAACUCCUUUCACCAUCGACGCGGUAGAUGGAGAAGAAGCACCGGCUAACUACGUGCCAGCAGCCGCGGUAAUAC
rnacentral:rRNA from 1 species